rnacentral:rRNA from 1 species
UACGUAGGGUGCGAGCGUUGUCCGGAAUUAUUGGGCGUAAAGAGCUUGUAGGUGGUUUGUCGCGUCUGCUGUGAAAAUCCGAGGCUCAACCUCGGACUUGCAGUGGGUACGGGCAGACUAGAGUGUGGUAGGGGAGACUGGAAUUCCUGGUGUAGCGGUGGAAUGCGCAGAUAUCAGGAGGAACACCGAUGGCGAAGGCAGGUCUCUGGGCCGAUACUG